rnacentral:tRNA from 1 species
CGGGGCGUAGCGCAGCCUGGCUAGCGCACCUGCUUUGGGAGCAGGGGGUCGUGGGUUCAAAUCCCGCCGCCCCGACCA